rnacentral:piRNA from 1 species
UAUCUCUUCGUAAUAAAACAA